ACUUCUCAUUUUUAAAUGAGUUCUCUAAAACUGUCCAAGUGGUAAGAGAGAGUAUCUGAGAAAAUCUGCUCAUCCUGACUAAGGAAAUUUCGGUUUGGAUAAUUUGAGGCCAAAUAAAUAAAGCAAACAACUUCUUUAAAAGGCCAUUAGAAGACUUCAUAACAUAAAAGAAUGAGGUACAGAAAAGAGAAUAUUUUAGGUCUCUGAUUGAGCUGCUGGAGCUGCCACUGAAGAAGACAGAUGGUGUGGCCAAUGGUGUGGCCAAUGCAGAGCAGUUUGAACCACCCUUGAGUGAAACUUGGACAAUGGGAAAUAAGAGGGAGAAAUAAAAAAAAGAAAAAAGAAAAAAAAAAAAAAAAGCACUGUCCAAAGGGAAUUACAGGCCCAAAUCUAGGAUGAAAUAGCCUACAAGGAAUUAGAGAACCUGACAAAUAUGGAAUGUCUACUACUUCUGAUAAUAGCUCUCUUAGGUCAGAUUCCCCAGAAACAGAGAUUGACAUAGACUUAAAUUGGUUAGGGUUUUUUGUUUUGUUUUUUUCCCUUCCUCUGGACAGAGAAGGGGAAGCAUAGUAGAGAACUGGAGAGAGCCCAGCAAGAAUGUGAUUCAGGCAAAGUCUAGACUUGGCCUGAUGCACAUAAAUCACCCCAUAGGGUGCCAGUCUUUUAUAAUACCUUGUCAGUCUUUGCUGUGGGCUAUACCCAAGGAAAGGAAGGGAAAAUAACCUUCUGUGGAAAGGCGAUCUCAUAAGCCAAGAGUGUCAUCUCAGAGAAGAGGGAUGUCUGUGACCUGAGCAAGCAACAUUAACCACAGAGAGUGAAUGAGUGGAUCUGCAAGACACACGGCAGUGCCUAGUACAGCAUCUUCUGGAGUUUCCUGAGCAUAUGGGAGAAUAUUUCAUCUCUGUGUAUUUUCUUUCGCUACUGUAAUUUCCACCGGGGAACAUGCACCAGUGUGGACGGAAAGAGUCAAUACUGCUGAAUUUUCAGUGCAGAAUCUCCUUGCGGCUAUCAUUUAUUAAAAUGUGACCAAGACUUCAGGAAUAAAUGCUUUAAUUUGGUUCUGUAUUUACCCAAAUAUCGCUCUAGACUUCAGAAAUAUUCAAAGUUGGAGAAA